rnacentral:rRNA from 1 species
UACGGAGGGGGCGAGCGUUGUCCGAAGUUACUGGGCGUAAAGCGCGCGUAGGCGGGUUGGCAAGUCCGCUGUGAAAGCCCGAGGCUUAACCUCGGCGGGUCGGUGGAUACUGCCAGUCUUGAAGGUGCUAGGGGGAAAUGGAAUUACCGGUGUAGCGGUGAAAUGCGUAGAUAUCGGUAGGAACACCAGUGGCGAAGGCGGUUUCCUGGGGCAUUCUUGACGCUGAGGCGCGAAAGCUGGGGGAGCGAACGGGAUUAGAAACCCUAGUAGU